rnacentral:rRNA from 1 species
GUGGGGAAUCUUGCGCAAUGGGCGAAAGCCUGACGCAGCCAUGCCGCGUGAAUGAUGAAGGUCUUAGGAUUGCAAAAUUCUUUCACCGGGGACGAUAAUGACGGUACCCGGAGAAGAAGCCCCGGCUAACUUCGUGCCAGCAGCCGCGGUAAUACGAAGGGGGCUAGCGUUGCUCGGAAUUACUGGGCGUAAAGGGCGCGUAGGCGGACAGUUUAGUCAGAGGUGAAAGCCCAGGGCUCAACCUUGGAAUUGCCUUUGAUACUGGCUGUCUUGAGUACGGGAGAGGUGAGUGGAACUCCGAGUGUAGUGGUGAAAUUCGUAGAUAUUCGGAAGAACACCAGUGGCGAAGGCGACUCACUGGCCCGUUACUGACGCUGAGGCGCGAAAGCGUGGGGAGCAAACAGGAUUAGAUACCCCUGUAGUCC